UACGGGGGGGGCAAGCGUUGUUCGGAAUUACUGGGCGUAAAGGGCUCGUAGGCGGUUCGUCACGUCGGGAGUGAAAACUCGGGGCUUAACCCCGAGCCUGCUUCCGAUACGGGCAGACUAGAGGUAGGCAGGGGAGAGCGGAACUCCUGGUGUAGCGGUGGAAUGCGCAGAUAUCAGGAAGAACACCGGUGGCGAAGGCGGCUCUCUGGGCCAUUACUGACGCUGAGGAGCGAAAGCAUGGGGAGCGAACAGG
rnacentral:rRNA from 1 species